CGCUUUCUGCCUCGCUCCGGGCGAAAAUCCCGGUCCCGGAGCCGCUUCCCGAGCUGCUCACGGGCGGCCGGCAGCGUCCUUGUGGACACCGGGAGCUGGGGAUCGGGAUCGAAACCCGAAGACAGAACACGGCGAGGCACCCGAUGGGACAUCCGAGCUCAGUCACUCAGCUGUGGGGUGUGGAGACGCAGACCCACCGAGAAUCAGGCGUCCGGGACCCCAACUCCGAGGACCUGGUGGACAGCGCAGAGGACAGAGCUGAGCAGUGCAAAGGGCCAGGGGGGCUGAAAGGCCAGGGGACCUAGAGCAUCCACCGCCCUGUGCAGCUCCUAUCGCGGGAAGGAAAUGUUCCUGUCCCAUAAACCAAGAGCAGAAAUCAGAUCCCCAGAAGAGAGGAUUCCCUGCCUUUCUGUCUCUCGGGAUCCUUUGGGGAGCUUCAUGGAGAAAAGGAGCAGGAGCAGAAAGCUUGAGGCCUGGGGGACCACAGCUCACCUGGUGAGCCUGCCAGGAGGGCCACAGGGGCCUUAGCGAAACCAAAGCAGACACACCUUGAGCUUCUCUGCAGGCUGAAGAGUUGCUGUGGGUUCCUCUCCCAGCCAGAGGAGCGGAAUAGGGAGGUCCCAGGCGGGUCCCAGGGCCUCCAGGCCAGGCCAGGGAGAGGCCCUAGGUGGGGCAGAGAGGCAACCGAUCCCAAACCUUCCUAACAACACAGGAAGUGCAAAAAAUGAGCAACCCCACUGUGGGAGGAUUGCAGUGAAGUUGAUCAGGAGAGUCAUUUGCUGUAAUGAAGGGAUCUCAUGGGGAGGAUCACGUAAGAUUGCUAACUAGAAGUGGAGCCUGAAUAAAACACCAGUGUCAGA
rnacentral:lncRNA from 1 species